rnacentral:rRNA from 1 species
UACGAAGGGGGCUAGCGUUGCUCGGAAUUACUGGGCGUAAAGCGCACGUAGGCGGUCUUUUAAGUCGGGGGUGAAAUCCUGGAGCUCAACUCCAGAACUGCCUUCGAUACUGGAAGACUUGAGUCCGGGAGAGGUGAGUGGAACUGCGAGUGUAGAGGUGAAAUUCGUAGAUAUUCGCAAGAACACCAGUGGCGAAGGCGGCUCACUGGCCCGGUACUGACGCUGAGGUGCGAAAGCGUGGGAGCAAACAGG